rnacentral:rRNA from 1 species
GACGGAGGGGGCUAGCGUUGUUCGGAAUGACUGGGCGUAAAGGGCGCGUAGGCGGUUUUUUAAGUGAGGCGUGAAAGCCCUGGGCUUAACCCAGGAGGUGCGUUUCAUACUGGAAAGCUUGAGUGCGAGAGAGGAAAGUGGAAUUCCUAGUGUAGAGGUGAAAUUCGUAGAUAUUAGGAAGAACACCAGUGGCGAAGGCGACUUUCUGGCUCGCAACUGACGCUGAGGCGCGAAAGCGUGGGGAGCAAACAGG